rnacentral:lncRNA from 1 species
GGAGAGAUGACCUAUCUUUAAAUGAGUCAAUUGUUUAAUCAUAUGCUUUCAUGUGUAUUCUUUCUGGCAACAAGAUCAUAAGCCUUUCUCCUCCAGCAUCAAGCCCAGUGCUUUGCAGCCAGGAUUCUAUAAUACAAUGAGAAAAACAGAAGUAAUAAGACAUGGAAAUCAAUAGCAAAUUAUAACAUGUUCAUAAACAAGGUGAAAGAAAGCCUUUGAGGUGAAGAUGUAUGAAGGUCAUCAUAACAAAUGUUUUCCAAAAACUUGCAGAAGGCUGUGAAAACUACUAGGAUCACGCGGCAUGUAUUGAGCAUAUAGGUUGCUGUAGAUGAAUGUUCUUAGCUGUCAUGUUUAAAAAUACUUCUUCGUUACCUCAAGUGUGGCAUGCAGCAUUUUGGAAGGAAAAUUGAAGACUUGUUCAAGAAAACAUGAACAGAAGCAAAUGAUGAAAAUGAGCAUUUUACUUGAUGUUGA